UGGGGAAUAUUGCACAAUGGGCGCAAGCCUGAUGCAGCCAUGCCGCGUGUAGGAAGAAGGCCUUCGGGUUGUAAAGUACUUUCAGCGAGGAGGAAGGCGUUGUGGUUAAUAACCGCAGCGAUUGACGUUACUCGCAGAAGAAGCACCGGCUAACUCCGUGCCAGCAGCCGCGGUAAUACGGAGGGUGCAAGCGUUAAUCGGAAUUACUGGGCGUAAAGCGCACGCAGGCGGUCUGUCAAGUCGGAUGUGAAAUCCCCGGGCUCAACCUGGGAACUGCAUCCGAAACUGGCAGGCUAGAGUCUUGUAGAGGGGGGUAGAAUUCCAGGUGUAGCGGUGAAAUGCGUAGAGAUCUGGAGGAAUACCGGUGGCGAAGGCGGCCCCCUGGACAAAGACUGACGCUCAGGUGCGAAAGCGUGGGGAGCAAACA
rnacentral:rRNA from 1 species